UACGUAGGUGGCAAGCGUUGUCCGGAUUUACUGGGCGUAAAGAGCGCGCAGGCGGUCGUUCAAGUCGCGUGUGAAAGCCCCCGGCUCAACUGGGGAGGGUCACGCGAUACUGAUCGACUCGAAGGCAGGAGAGGGUAGUGGAAUUCCCGGUGUAGUGGUGAAAUGCGUAGAUAUCGGGAGGAACACCAGUGGCGAAGGCGGCUCACUGGACCGGUUCUGACGCUGAGGCGCGAAAGCGUGGGGAGCAAACGGG
rnacentral:rRNA from 1 species